rnacentral:rRNA from 1 species
GUGUCAGCAGCCGCGGUAAUACAGAGGCCUCAAGCGUUGUUCGGAUUCAUUGGGCGUAAAGGGUGCGUAGGCGGUGUCGCAAGUCGAAUGUGAAAUCUCGGGGCUCAACUCCGAAACUGCAUUCGAUACUGCGGCGCUCGAGGACUGUAGAGGAGAAUGGAAUUCACGGUGUAGCAGUGAAAUGCGUAGAUAUCGUGAGGAAGACCAGUGGCGAAGGCGAUUCUCUGGGCAGUUCCUGACGCUGAGGCACGAAGGCUAGGGUAGCGAACGGGAUUAGAUACCCCGGUAGUCC